rnacentral:rRNA from 1 species
AGUCGAGCGAGAAGAGGGGCAACCCUUGAGUACAGCGGCGGACGGGCGAGGAACACGUAGGUAAUCUGCCCUUCGAUGGAGGACAACGGUCCGAAAGGACCGCUAAUACUGCAUACGUUCUCCGGGCCCUCGGGCCUGGAGAGGAAAGCCUCGCAAGGGGCGUCGGAGGAGGAGCCUGCGUCGCAUCAGCUAGUUGGUGGGGUAAUGGCCUACCAAGGCGAAGACGCGUAGCUGGUCUGAGAGGAUGAUCAGCCACACUGGGACUGAGACACGGCCCAGACUCCUACGGGAGGCAGCAGUGGGGAAUAUUGGACAAUGGGCGCAAGCCUGAUCCAGCCACGCCGCGUGAGUGAUGAAGGCCUUCGGGUCGUAAAGCUCUGUGGGGAGGGACGAACGAACGGGUGAAGAACCUGGAAUGACGGUACCUCCUUAGCAAGCACCGGCUAACUUCGUGCCAGCAGCCGCGGUAAUACGAAGGGUGCAAACGUUGCUCGGAAUCAUUGGGCGUAAAGCGCACGUAGGCGGCCUGAUAAGUCGGAUGUGAAAUCCCUCGGCUCAACUGAGGACGUGCAUUCGAAACUGCCAGGCUCGAGUAUGGAAGAGGGUCGCGGAAUUCCCGGUGUAGAGGUGAAAUUCGUAGAUAUCGGGAGGAACACCAGAGGCGAAGGCGGCGCG